UCUGCUCAGGUCAGGUGGGUCCAGGUUCAGUUAACCAAAACUGUCAGAUUCAUAGUAUUAAUUUAAGGCAUAACACGUGCCUGAUACGUGUUUUUGAUUACUGGGUUUCUAAAAUGACUUUCAAAACUGAUGAGAAAAUCAAACUACGAGUAAUCCGUCUCUACAAGUCGUACCAAAUGAUAUCUUGCUUGACCGUUGAAUUGUAAAAUGUACCAAAGUUUGUUGUUCUUUUUUGUAUUCUUUGUAUGAUUAUUAUAAGUAAAAGCAUUACUUCAAUAUCAGUAAUGGUUGUUAGAAAGUCUUAUUGAAACAACUGGGGCAGCUAAUGGACAAUAUGCCGAACAAGCAAAGUACUAAUGUCGAAGAUUCGACUUUAGUAAUCAAACUGGAUGUCUCACCACGGAAGGUACCAAUUCAAAAGAGACAAGGAGACUCCAGUCUUGCUUUAAAGCCAAGUGCCAAAAGGCGAAAGCUAAAUAACAAAACUUACUAUGAGAGUCCAUUAAAGCAUUUGGGAAAAAGCAUAGACAAAACCAUUUCGGCCGUAAGUCUAGACGAAAGCGUCAUUGUAAUAGAAGAAUACAUGGAUGUUACAGCAUCAAAGAGUUCAGCUUGCCCACAAAGUAGUAGUAAGCAAUUGACUUGUCCAGAUGACAGCAUCAUUAUUUUAAGUGACAAUGAAGGUGUAUCGGAAGAAACGACCCACGUCAAAAAUAAGAAUCAUAGAAUCAUUCAAGACAAAGAUUCGUCCAUGAUAAAUACAGAAGUGUCGGAGGUUGCAUCAGUUGAAAAACGAAUGACAAGGAAAAGGAAUAAGCGAGCCGCAGCUCGCAACGCCAAAUUUGGGGCUAAGACUACAGUUAGAAAAGCAGACUGUCAAGAUAAGGGAAAUCUAAUGCCAAAAAUGCUAUCUAUAUCAAUUGACUCUGAAGAUGAGAAUAUAAUUCCUAAUGAUGACACCACUAAACCACAAGCAAAAAUUGCAACUGUCAACAAUUCUGAAAGUCUUUCGAUAUCUAAGAAUGUUCCUCCAACAAAUUCCCAGGGUGAUAUUAAGGAAAGCACAAAAAAGACUAAAACCAGUCCUCUUCGCACAGAAUCUUCAAGUCAAUCAGCAGCUUCGCCAGAUGAUAUUUUAAUAGUCUGGACACAAACGGAAGGAUGUCAUACAGCUGCAGAACAACUUGCUUCACUAUGUGUUACAGAGGAACCUUCAAACCUAGAAGAAAGAUCAGGCUACUGUAUUGAUACACAGGGCGAUCCGUCCAGUUUUCGUAAUUUGAAUGAAAAACAUAAUAAAAAUAAAGAAAGAAAACGCGAGAAGACAAAACAACGUCAAAACCCGAACUGGGCCAGGUUCACAGAGUACCAAUCCUCCACAAAUCUACCUCCGAAGGAACCAAACAUUGGAUUGAAUCAGCCUGAAAUAAAUGCAGUUGGAAGAUGUUAUACCAAGGAAAUCGUUGUCAAACGACCCGGGAGCUUGCGGGAUAUUGUCAUCGAUGGUUGCAACAUUGCAAUGGCAUACACAAAUCACAAAUACUUCUCGGAAACCGGGCUCAAGUUGGUAAUAGAUUACUUUAAAUUAAGAGGCCAUACUGUCAAAGCCUUUAUCCCCCAACAUAAACGAUCCAUGAAGCACCAGCUCCUUGAGCAGCUUUAUUCCGAAGGCAUUGUGGUCUUCACACCCAGUCGACACAUAGGAGGAAAAAGAAUCAGUUCACAUGAUGACAGAUAUAUUUUGGAAUACGCUACAAUGUGUGAUGGGAUAGUGGUAUCACUGGACCAAUACCGAGACUUGUACGCAGAGAAACCUGAGUGGAAAAAUACAAUUGAAAACCGUCUGUUAGUGCCCACGUUUGUUGGGAAAUGCGUCAUGUUUCCUGAAGAUCCGCUGGGAAGAAGUGGUCCAAAACUCGAAGAAUUCUUGAGGCACUAGCAACGACUGUGGUUUUUAAUACCAUAGGAGCACGAUAUCGUAUUAAUAUGGCAAGCUGACAUGAUGCUGAACGUCACUUUUUGUUCUUCUUAGCAUAUAUGGAGUGAUAGCAUCAUUCAGCAUUGUAGCC